rnacentral:lncRNA from 1 species
UCACUUAAGAAACAGGUUUGCUUCAUUCUUUUAAUAUUGUACAUUGGUUUUACACUUUUUUAAUUUUAAAAAGACAAAAAUCACAAUAAAGCAGAGUUUCAAAACAAGUUUUAAAAAGCAAGUUAGUGAGAGUUACAAUAAUUAAUACACUGCGUUAUUGUUGUCUUAUAGUAGCUACCCAAAGUACAAGAUACAGGCAUGGUAUCUUGUCCUGUUGUAUUACUCGAGUUAGAGCUGGGCGGUUGUUCAUCAAAGCUCUGGUCUCUUUCCUCUCUGGGUCUUUAUGUAGAUGGCAUCCUGAGCUGUAUGCUGGGUUACCAAGUGACAGUGAAUGUACUGUGCUCAGAAGCGAAGCGAGGCUCCUCCUGGCCUCUCUGCUACAAACCUCACGAAGACCCCGUGGCGUCCUCAGGCCUGGUGCUCCAGCUGCUGCAUCGGACCGGCAGGAGGGUGCAAGGUCCUAGGAGGACAGUGGAGGAACAUGUAGGAACAGAGGUGCCAUGGAAGCUCGUCAGGGAACAGGAGAUUCCGUGCUGAUUCUGAGGAGGUGAACACAUGGAGAGCCAGGAGCAACCUCGCCAUUUCUGCAGAGCUCGGUUCAAACUGGACCAAAUGGUGAAUCAGCAGCAAAAACGCAGAAGGGAAGAAAGCCACAGUCAGUGUAAGCAUGAACCUGAUGGAGUAUGACUCUACCACAAAGAAGGAGAAAGCUGAGACACUUUUAGGUAAAUGGACGCACCUUGAGACCAUAAUCUAAAUAAAUAAAACACACAAGUAUAAUUAUUGCAUUGUUUCCCUUGUGUCAGAAACCCAAAUACAAACAGUGAGCAAAAUAGAGCUUUUAGGAAAUGGGAAGAACUUGUUUAUGAAUUUGAUUUUUUUUCUCUUCCAGUACCAGGAAUCAAACUCAUGACCUCGCACUUGCCGGGCAGGCACUUUGCCGCUGAGCUAAACCCCCAGACCCCGGAAGAACUUGUUUAAAUUGGAAGGGAAACAACAUAUGGAAGAUGUGAGGGAGGGAAGGAAAGGAAGAGGGUUUUAAAGGGAAAAAGAAUCAAAACAAUGGAAAUAGAGCUUUUGUAAAUGGUGAGGCAGGAAAGAGGGGUUGGAGGAAGGGGAGGGGAAGCAGAGUUAUAGAAAAAAAGAAUUACGAUGUGUUGUGUACACGUGUAAAUCUCCCACACAAUGAAUGAAUGCAUUCAUUAUGUACUGCAAACAGGUGCUAAUGUAAAAAGAAGAGUCACCAGGACAGGGUGAUCGCCCUGUCUGCUGGAGUUUGCUUAUCAGUUUACCGGACACCAUGUCGCUGGAUGAAGACACAAGGGGCACCAACAAAACAUACAAAGUCUCAGCACUGAAUUCGUGUCCGAGGAAACCGGAGAUGUUACUGAUCUGUCUUUGCUUUUUGUGCGGCUGGCGUUGCAACAAUUUUACAUGAGCACUGGGGAGGAAGCAGCUGUGAGCUUCCCCGUGAUCUGCAGGGAUGAACACGGCACUGCCCACUGGGUCUCCACCACCACCAGGAGCGGGGAAGGCGCAAACUCCGCACAGCUUCAGACACAGGCCUGCCUCCCACAGGCCCUUCUCUGGACCCGUGCAGACCGGACACCUUCUGUCCACCUGAAGACAAGGCUGGCUGCGAAUCCCCGCUCCGUGCACGUUGUCAGAUUCCACAUCGUUGCUUCCUGGGGUAUUUCAACCCGGGUUGAAAACACACAUCCCACUUCCAGGCAUCUGCUUCACGUUUCCUGGACGGCCCGGUAAUGUGUUUGUUUAACUCACUGCGGGUUAGGCUAUAGAUUUUGCAGUGGCCUACCAACACAGGCCCCCGGCUGUUUGUUUUUUUAAGUUUUUGUCUUAUCUCAUUUCCUCUGAAAAGCCCCACUUUUCACAGCGUAGCUGAAGCCUGAAUAAGCUGUUCUCUGAGUCCCGUCUACACGUCUCACCAAAGUAUGAGGCUAAAGUAUUUGCAGUUGAAAAUCAUAAACCAGCCUGCACUGCAGCAUUUCGUCAAGUGGCCGAAGAGCGAGCAGGCGUGUGGGAAGAGCACAGCAAACCGCACGGAGCCGGCCGUCCGUCUUCUUGCCCUCUCGUCGGUGCGCGAAGCGAAGCGGGGUGAAGGGCAGUGAAUCGCAGUACGCAGGUAGCACCCGGGAACUAGUUAAAAUGCACAUUCUCAGACCACAUCCUCAGGAUUCAAACUCAGGACAGCGGGGCCAGGCCUGGGACUCGGACUUUCUACCAAACCAUGCACCCCGCCUCCCCCAUUUUGAUGAAAUGGUUUGUGGACUGGGGUGUGAAUAAGCUCCAGUGGAGUGGUGACAUUCUGGCAUUCGGAAGGCUCAGGUCUGGCUUCAAGUCCUGGCUUAGCUGGUGCCUGGCUGGGAGACCUUCCAAACCCGUUUCCUUCAAAUGUGGACAAACUAAAAGUUUUGUGAGACUUUAGUGGAAUGUUCAAUAAAGAGCAGCUCUUAUUUUUAAAUUAUUGUCUUCAGUGAUCUUAGUCUAUGUAAAACUAAAGACAAAACCUAGCCCAAAGUGUGAAAGGCAAAGCACACACUGGCCCUGUUAUUUCUGAUGGUCUACACUGCAGCACACGCAUCUCCUUAGCCCAGAACCCUGGCAGCAUCCUUCGGGAGGGGUCUGCAGCCCGGAGAGGCUGCCCCCUCUGAUCCUGGGUCAGACCCGUAGCAGCAGUUACUUCCUCUGCUGCGCUCCUCACACGGU